GGAUGAAUGCUGGUUGGAAACUUUGUCAUGGAACUGAGGUGGCGGUGAAACAUUUGCAGAAUAAUGAUCAAGUCUAUCAGGGAACUGAGAUGGCGGUGAAACAUUUGCAGAAUAAUGAUCAAGUCUAUCAGGGAACUGAGAUGAUGGAUCAGAAUCAGAUCCAGGACCCUUAAUUGGUGUUUCACUCGUUCCAAUGUCCUGCAAAAGUAGAUAGAGUUAAAGACCCACCGAGAACAGCAGCAUGUUUUUCCUAAUCAUCAUGUUCACGUACAAAGAAGCCAAAAUUAUUAUAUGUGCGACUACAUCCUAUUCAUCCAGAGUUCUCCUCCUUUACCAUAAUCAGUUUUUGUCAUUAGGAAGGAGCCAAAAGGCAAAAAAGAAGGUGCAAGCAUAAUGUGCAUAUGCAUUGUUUUACUCAACAAACUCAAGAAUAU
rnacentral:lncRNA from 1 species